CCUACGGGUGGCAGCAGUGGGGAAUAUUGGACAAUGGGGGGAACCCUGAUCCAGCCAUGCCGCGUGUGUGAAGAAGGCCCUCGGGUUGUAAAGCACUUUCAGUGAGGAAGAACGCCUGGUGGUUAAUACCCAUCAGGAAAGACAUCACUCACAGAAGAAGCACCGGCUAACUCCGUGCCAGCAGCCGCGGUAAUACGGAGGGUGCGAGCGUUAAUCGGAAUUACUGGGCGUAAAGCGCGCGUAGGUGGCUUGAUAAGCCGGUUGUGAAAGCCCCGGGCUCAACCUGGGAACGGCAUCCGGAACUGUCAAGCUAGAGUGCAGGAGAGGAAGGUAGAAUUCCCGGUGUAGCGGUGAAAUGCGUAGAGAUCGGGAGGAAUACCAGUGGCGAAGGCGGCCUUCUGGACUGACACUUACACUGAGGUGCGAAAGCGUGGGUAGCAAACAGGAUUAGAUACCCUAGUAGUC
rnacentral:rRNA from 1 species